AUCUCUGCGUGACUUCCGCCAGCGUUUAGAGCGUUUUCGGGGUCCGAGUUGAAGAGCAAAACCAAGUGAAGGAAACUUCACUAAGUUCAGGGUGACAAGGGAGGAAGUACAGAGUGAACUAUUGGCAUGGCUCAAUCCAUUGACCUGUUUUGGUUCCUGAUGAAGUUUUGUUAAUUUAAAUGAGAAAAAUAAGGACAGUGAAAAACAGAGCGCUUAAAAAGCACUGUCUGGAUAUCUUCAGAGGGAAAAAGGAGAAAGUUAACUGAAUUGGUGACACUUCGGGUCUCUCACAGAGGAAGAUUAGAUGAAGGUGACCUUCCCCUUCGCCAAGCAGAAUCUCCCAUGAGACUCAUGAAUCCUCUUGAGGCCAAUUACAGCUAUCACUUGUUAACUGUUGGAGUACUUUCAGUCUUAAAAGAGCUGCUAGAAAAUUAAGGCUGCAACAUGAAAGAAGAACAAAAUGGUCAGGCAUAUCACACGUUUUUAUCAAAUGAUUUGGUUUAGGACUUGAUAACCUGGUUAGUACUUGAGCACUGAAAGAUAUUUUGAAUUUAAAGUAAGAUGGAGAAAGUGAUGGAAGCUAAAUCACAGAGGA
rnacentral:lncRNA from 1 species